AAGAGAUAAGGAAGACAGAUGCAUGACAUUUUACAUUUGAAACCUCAGUUUUUUUUAAAACCUCAUCAGAGGAAAGCAGACUGUUCCAGCACUUCACUAUCCUCCCAUUGAUAAAAACCCACGUUUUAGCUGUGUUUGCAGUACCAGGGAAGCGUUGGCAGUGAUUUCUACCACGUGGAGGACAUAGUUGGUCCAUGAUGGCUGUUGGCUUACAGACAGGCCCUGACAACAGCAGUCUGCAGAAUAAACAUGAUUUCAGGCCCUGAGGGUGUAAAGGCAAGCUAGUGCAGAUCUCUUUCUUUACUGCACAGCUCAUCUCUCUGGGCCCUAACCUUUAACCUUUGACCUUUAACCCCUCAUCAUAUAUACUGGCAGCCAAACAACACGUUAUCCACAGGGACUACAGGUAAAUUAACAAUAUGGCAUAUUAUAUUCAUUGUCUUGGUAAACUGCUAAAAUUAGGGGGAAAAUGUUUUUCUCCUCUUCUUUUAGCACUGUAGUUGUAGCUAAUGUUUUCUACCACAUGUAAACUCAUCAGGAUCAUGUAAUUAAUUGUCCUCAAACUCUGCAAUACUUUUACGCCCUCCAUCACUUCUCUUUCCUAUUGACAUCUGCCCACCUACCCUCACCCAUACUCUAGGGACCACGUGAGGUGAGUUUCAACUGAGCUGCUUGGGGCAAGAUGAGCUCACAGGUAACUUCACCCCCGUCCUUCCUCCUCCUUCUCCCCUUCCUGUCGGCCAAACAGGUCUCUACCUGUCCAGGUGAGCCAAUAGCCCUGUCACUCCUACCCCUAACACCGUUUUGUUUUACUACUUUUGAAACUGGGUGAGGGGUUUAUAAUA